rnacentral:rRNA from 1 species
GACGAACGCUGGCGGCGUGCUUAACACAUGCAAGUCGAACGGAAAGGCCCUGCUGUUGUGGGGUGCUCGAGUGGCGAACGGGUGAGUAACACGUGAGUAACCUGCCCUUGACUUUGGGAUAACUUCAGGAAACUGGGGCUAAUACCGGAUAGGAGCUCCUGCUGCAGGGUGGGGGUGGGAAAGUUUCGGCGGUUGGGGAUGGACUCGCGGCUGAUCAGCUUGUUGGUGGGGUAGUGGCUUACCAAGGCUUUGACGGGUAGUCGGCCUGAGAGGGUGACCGGCCACAUUAGGACUGAGAUACGGACCAGACUCCUACGGGAGGCAGCAGUGGGGAAUAUUGCACAAUGAGCGGAAGCCUGAUGCAGCAACGCCGCGUGCGGGAUGACGGCCUUCGGGUUGUAAACCGCUUUCGCCUGUGACGAAGCGUGAGUGACGGUAAUGGGUAAAGAAGCACCGGCUAACUACGUG